UCCGAGUUGACCCCGGCAGUCUCCUACGAGUCCCCGGCAUUACCCGCUGGCAACAUGGAACAGGGGUUGCGCUCGUUGCGCCACUUAAGGCAACACCUCACGGCACGAGCUGACGACAGCCGUGCAGCACCUGUGCGGGCUCCCGAAGGAGCACCGUGUUUCCACGGUUUCACCCCGCAUGUCAAGCCCUGGUAAGGUUCUUCGCGUUGCGUCGAAUUAAGCCACAUGCUCCGCCGCUUGUGCGGGCCCCCGUCAAUUCCUUUGAGUUUUAAUCUUGCGACCGUACUCCCCAGGCGGAAUGCUUAAAGCGUUAGCCGCGCCACUGACGAGCAAGCUCGCCAACGGCUGGCAUUCAUCGUUUACGGCGUGGACUAC
rnacentral:misc_RNA from 1 species